rnacentral:rRNA from 1 species
AAAAACAUGGCUUUUUGAUUAUAAUUUAAAGUCCAGCCUGCCCAAUGAGUUUUCUUAAAUGGCCGCAGUAUCUUGACUGUGCAAAGGUAGCAUAAUCAAUAGUUUUUUAAUUGAAAGCUGGAAUGAAAGGUUUUAUGAGAAAAUAGCUGUCUCUAUAAAAAUUUAAUAGAACUUUAUUUUUAAGUUAAAAAGCUUAAAUGAUAAUAGAAGACGAGAAGACCCUAUAGAGUUUUAUAAUUUUGUAUAUUUUAAAUUUUAGUAUUUAUUAUUGUAAAUAUACAAAAUUAUUUGGUUGGGGUGAUUGGAAAAUUGAUUAAACUUUUUCUUAUUAAUACAUUUAUAUAUGAAAAUAUGAUCCUUAUUUGAAGAUUAAAAGAUAAAAUUACCUUAGGGAUAACAGCGUAAUUUUUUUUGAGAGUUCUUAUCGAAAAAAAAGAUUGCGACCUCGAUGUUGGAUUAAAAUUUAUUUAUGGUGUAGAAGCUAUAUAAUUAGGUCUGUUCGACCUUUAAAAUUUUACUUGAUCUGAGUC